GUCUACGGCCAUACCACCCUGAACGCGCCCGAUCUCGUCUGAUCUCAGAAGCUAAGCAGGGUCGGGCCUGGUUAGUACUUGGAUGGGAGAAAUGUCUAUGAUAUAUUUA
rnacentral:rRNA from 1 species